rnacentral:lncRNA from 1 species
AUAUGGCGUAAGAUGGCGGCACUUUGUGGCGUGCAGCUACUUCUUAAAAUGAUCAACGUGUUAAUAACAAACUAAGUUAAAUUGAUAUUGUAAAAUUCACGAGACAAAAGCGAUCAAACAAAAAUGCCACCGAAGAAAAUCAGCAGCGUGGUUGAGGAGGAGUUGGAGGAGAUUAGGAAAUCGCUAAACUUCAUGUCGGACGAGUUAAGCAAAGUUGUUAAACAACAAACUAUGCUACUUGAUCUAAUGGAUGAAGUCAAACAACUGAAGAAUCUUGUGAAAGAGAAGGAUAAGAAAAUUGAAGGAAUGGAGAGAAGGAUUGACGAGUUGGAGCAAUAUACAAGAAUGGAGGAUUUAAUUAUAAGUGGACUGGAAACUAAACACCGGACGUAUGCCAGUACAGUGGCCAGAGUCAGAGACGGUGAAGACGCCCGACCUGAUGAACUACUAACCCUGGAAAAGCAAGUAAUCAAGUUCCUUGAAAGUAAGAAUAUGAUCAUUCAGAGUGAUAAUGUUGUGGCCUGUCAUACCCUCCAACGAAGGAUUGACGGAGCGAAGCCUGCAAUAGUUGUUCGGUUUGUGAAUCGGAAGCAUAAAGCCGAGUUACUGAGGCAGGCCAAGAAGUUGAAGGGUACGGGGGUGUACCUGAAUGAACAUCUUACAAAAAAGAAUGCUGAUAUUGCUAGAUGUGCACGCAUUCUGAAGAAACAGAAUAAGAUACAAGCUACAUGGACAAGAAAUUGCAAAGUAAUGAUACGACUAAAUGGAACACCUGAAGAAGCCAAAGUAUAUGUAAUAAGAGAACUUAAAGAACUUGAUCAGUAUGGUUAAGUGAAGACUGUUACGGUAUAAUGGAUUAUCUAAAGAAGCUAAAUAACACACUGAAAGAGAUCGUUAAGAAUUGGAUCACUAUGGAUAAGGGAAGAUCGUGUGGAGGAAGAUUUAUAUGGACUUAUCGAUAUGAUGGACAUUGAUAAGGAAUUUUUGUUUCCAUUUAGUGAGGUUGAUGAUGG